AAACCGAUAGAGAACAAGUACUGUGAAGGAAAGAUGAAAAGGACCGCUGGCGCGGAGUGAAAAGAACCUGAAACCGGACAAGGGGAACCGAAGGAAAGGAGUGGUAGAGGGGCGAU
rnacentral:rRNA from 1 species